GAGCGGUAACAGGAGUAAUUUAUUACUUGCUGACGAGCGGCGGACGGCUGAGUAACGCGUGGGAACAUGCCCCAAAGUGAGGAAUAACUGCCCGAAAGGGUAGCUAAUGCCGCAUAUGAUCUUCGGAUUAAAGGAUUUAUCCGCUUUGGGAGUGGCCCGCGUACGAUUAGGUAGUUGGUGAGGUAAAGGCUCACCAAGCCCACGAUCGUUAACUGGUCUGAGAGGAUGAUCAGUCAGACUGGAACUGAGACACGGUCCAGACUCCUACGGGAGGCAGCAGUGAGGAAUCUUCCACAAUGGGCGAAAGCCUGAUGGAGCGACGCCGCGUGCAGGAUGAAGGCCCUCGGGUUGUAAACUGCUUUUAUAAGUGAAGAAUAUGACGGUAACUUAUGAAUAAGCACCGGCUAACUACGUGCCAGCAGCCGCGGUCAUACGUAGGGUGCAAGCAUUAUCCGGAGUGACUGGGCGUAAAGAGUUGCGUAGGUGGUUUGUUAAGUGAAUAGUGAAAUCUGGCGGCUCAACCGUACAGGCUAUUAUUCAAACUGGCAAACUCGAGAAUGGUAGAGGUAACUGGAAUUUCUUGUGUAGGAGUGAAAUCCGUAGAUAUAAGAAGGAACACCAAUGGCGUAGGCAGGUUACUGGACCAUUUCUGACACUGAG
rnacentral:rRNA from 1 species